rnacentral:rRNA from 1 species
UGGGGAAUAUUGGACAAUGGGGGCAACCCUGAUCCAGCAAUGCCGCGUGUGUGAAGAAGGCCUUAGGGUUGUAAAGCGCUUUAGUUUGGGAGGAAGGUAUCUAGUUUAAGAGAUGAGAUACUUGACUGUACCGAAAGAAUAAGCACCGGCUAACUCUGUGCCAGCAGCCGCGGUAAUACAGAGGGUGCGAGCGUUAAUCGGAGUUACUGGGCGUAAAGGGCGCGUAGGCGGUUCGUUAAGAUUGUUGUGAAAUCCCUGGGCUUAACCUAGGAACUGCAACGAAGACUGGCGAGCUGGAGUAUUGUAGAGGGUAGUGGAAUUUCCGGUGUAGCGGUGAAAUGCGUAGAGAUCGGAAGGAACACCAGUGGCGAAGGCGGCUACCUGGACAAAUACUGACGCUGAGGCGCGAGAGCGUGGGGAGCAAACAGG